UCCAGCACCAUCUGUUCCUUCAAUAAGUUGAGACAUGGCACGAUGUAAAUAAUAGGCCUUAAAUGAUGAUAUAACGUCUUGGUUCAAACUAUGGUUGAAGCAUAGACAUGGUAUUCAGUGGAAGGAAAACAACUAGUACAAGUUCAGACAAUUCAUUUAGGUGUGCUGGGUGGCCUAGAGCAUUAUUUAAUAUAAGUAGUGCCUUGUGUGUCAUGUUUUUCUUCGCAUAGUAUUCAUUUAAUGUUGGGCGAAAUUAUUUUUUGAACCAAUCAAUGAAAAGAGUCAUUGUCAUCCAUGCUUUAAUGUUUGACCGCCAAAUUACUGGCAAAUUUUGAUUACACCCCUUUGAAUGCUCUAGGAUUUUCAAAUUGAUAGACAGCAAGAGGUUUGAGUUUAAAGUCACCUUUUGUAUUACCACCCACGAAGAGUGUGAUAUGAUCUUUGGCUGCUUUGAAUCCUGGUGCAGCAUUCUCUUCCAUCGAAAUAAAUGUCUGGAAAGGCAUUUUCUUCCAAUAUAGUCCAGUUUCAUUAACAUUAAAAACUUGACUGGGCAAGUAGCUUAUGGUUUUAACACUUUCACUCUUACUUGCAUUUUUAAGAUAAUUAAACAAUGCUAGGGCGUUUGUUUGAAUAAUAACCAUGCUCAAUGGAGUAUGCUUCUGAUUUUUGUCUUCAAUCAAUAUACUUGAAAGUUUCUCCAUUUCUUCCAAUUUUUCUUGCUUUGGCAAACUUUAUUUGCACUUAACCGAGUUGUAGACAGAGCACUUUCUUUAAUUUUUUCUUCAUUCUUAUGGAUAGUUUUUAUUGUUGAUUCCACCAUCCCCAAAGCACGUGAAAUAUCCACAGACCUUUUUCAUAUCGUAUUAACACAUCUAGUUUCUAGGCUAAGUUUAUACACUUUCCUUUUGCUUUUGAACCAGCACUACCAUCACGAGGGUUUUAAAUACGAAUUGUCGUUAUUCGAGGCUUUCCUAUAUUGUACUUUUCUCUUAUUCUUGCUAGUGUUAUUUAGUAUUUAAAUUCAUGCUAGUGAUAAUUUAGUAUUUAAAUUCUUGCUAGUGAUAAUUUAGUAUUUAGAUUCUUGCUAGAGCUAAAUUAGUAUUUAAAUUCGUGAUAAAGACAAUUUAGUAUUUAAGUUCUUGGUAGUGUUAAUUUAGUACAGUAUUUAAAUUAUUGAUAUUGAUAAUUUAGUACAGUAUUUAGAUUCUUGCUAGUGUAGAUUUAUCAUUUGGAUUCUCAUUCCAGGUUCCUCACUUACAAUCCCCCAAAACGCAUUACCUGUCAGGAGGCAGUUCAUCACGACUAUUUCCACAAAGAAGCCCCAGCUCCUGUUGACCCCGCUAUGUUUCCUACGUGGCCGGCCAAGUCGGAAAAUCCACACGGUCGCUCAAAGAAAGUCGGGCUAAGUCCUAAGCCUCCAUCUGGUGGCAAGAACUUUAAAGAUCUGGUUGAUGGCGAUGAAGAGCUGGCUGCCAGGGGGUUCUUCUUGGGCGGAGCCAGCUCAAGUGGACCUGGUUUUGUACUCAAGAUGUGAUCACAGUUGUGUUACACAAGGUUUAUGAGGAUAUCACAAAUUGUUCAGAUGAAGACUUAUAUUUCUUUAUGCAAUAAUUGGUUAUUUAAAUGGUUAUUUCAUCUUUUUUACCUCUACAGUGGUUAGUAGUCAGACCCCAUCCAUUCUAUGAUGGCUCAUUGUUUCCAUCUGUUUGUCAUUGUUAAUUUCACUUGACAUAUCACAUAAUCUCAUUUGAAGCCUCACAUGGUAUCUAGAUAAUGUUCAGGGCUCUGAAAUAUGUUAUGGAAAGCGGUAUCGUUGACAUUAUGAUGUUAUUGCUGCACUUCGACUACUGUGAUCUUUAAGCGAGUAAUAAAUUUAGUAAUUACAUCAGUCCAUCAACAGUUAAUGAUCAACUAUGGUCUUUAAGCGAAAAAUUUUUUUUGUAAUUAUGUCUGUCCAUCAACAGUUAAUGAGUUGAUAACAUCACUUGAACUUCCUAGCCAGAGAGAGGAGAGUGGCCUUUACCCCCUCCACACCCUGGUAAACACUGGCCACUGUGAGAGGUGUCUGGUUACCAGGUUAAGUUGUCACAUGUCAAAGAAUUCUACAGGUUAGAAAUUAACUCACUUGGCCGGAAAACUUAUCAUAGAUGUACUGUAUGUCAUUACCACUGAAGGGUUUAAAAAUAAACUGGUACAAAUAA
rnacentral:lncRNA from 1 species